GAUGAACGCUGGCGGCGUGCCUAAUACAUGCAAGUCGAGCGAACGGACGAGAAGCUUGCUUCUCUGAUGUUAGCGGCGGACGGGUGAGUAACACGUGGAUAACCUACCUAUAAGACUGGGAUAACUUCGGGAAACCGGAGCUAAUACCGGAUAAUAUUUUGAACCGCAUGGUUCAAAAGUGAAAGACGGUCUUGCUGUCACUUAUAGAUGGAUCCGCGCUGCAUUAGCUAGUUGGUAAGGUAACGGCUUACCAAGGCAACGAUGCAUAGCCGACCUGAGAGGGGGAUCGGCCACACUGGAACUCAGACACGGUCCAGACUCCUACGGGAGGCAGCAGUAGGGAAUCUUCCGCAAUGGGCGAAAGCCUGACGGAGCAACGCCGCGUGAGUGAUGAAGGUCUUCGGAUCGUAAAACUCUGUUAUUAGGGAAGAACAUAUGUGUAAGUAACUGUGCACAUCUUGACGGUACCUAAUCAGAAAGCCACGGCUAACUACGUG
rnacentral:rRNA from 1 species